rnacentral:rRNA from 1 species
UACGUAGGGUCCGAGCGUUGUCCGGAAUUAUUGGGCGUAAAGGGCUCGUAGGCGGUUUGUCGCGUCGGGAGUGAAAACUCAGGGCUCAACCCUGAGCGUGCUUCCGAUACGGGCAGACUAGAGGUAUGCAGGGGGAGAACGGAAUUCCUGGUGUAGCGGUGGAAUGCGCAGAUAUCAGGAGGAACACCGGUGGCGAAGGCGGUUCUCUGGGCAUUACCUGACGCUGAGGAGCGAAAGUGUGGGGAGCGAACAGG